GGAUAGAGGCGCGGUCAAGAAGAUUAGUGCACAUUCAAAGCCCCCGAGGCUGUGUAUGAAAGGCAAGACCGCCGAAGCUUGGCGUGUGGGAAGCGCUUUGCUGGACGAUAGUCAAACAGGCUAUCGGCUGUCAUCAUUAUGUAUGAUGGAGUGCUGCCG
rnacentral:ncRNA from 1 species